rnacentral:rRNA from 1 species
CCUACGGGUGGCAGCAGUCGAGAAUCAUUCACAAUGGGGGAAACCCUGAUGGUGCGACGCCGCGUGGGGGAAUGAAGGUCUUCGGAUUGUAAACCCCUGUCAUGUGGGAGCAAAUUAAAAAGAUAGUACCACAAGAGGAAGAGACGGCUAACUCUGUGCCAGCAGCCGCGGUAAUACAGAGGUCUCAAGCGUUGUUCGGAAUCACUGGGCGUAAAGCGUGCGUAGGCUGUUUCGUAAGUCGUGUGUGAAAGGCGCGGGCUCAACCCGCGGACGGCACAUGAUACUGCGAGACUAGAGUAAGGGAGGGGGAACCGGAAUGCUCGGUGUAGCAGUGAAAUGCGUAGAUAUCGAGAGGAACACUCGUGGCGAAGGCGGGGUCCUGGACAUUAACUGACGCUGAGGCACGAAGGCCAGGGGAGCGAAAGGGAUUAGAUACCCCAGUAGUC